rnacentral:lncRNA from 1 species
AUUUGUUGUAGAGAAUCUGGAAUAUGACGACCGUAAAAGUAAAGAAAAGAGGUGAAACAAAAAUAACUCCAACAAACGACUCAGAAACAAAAACGAGUAUUGAGCUCUCUGAUUGCGAUGAAAGCAGUCCAACAUCUUUAAUGACGCCACCAAAAUAUGGACCUGAAAAAUUAGACCGAGACAUGGCGAAACCUUCCAACGAAGACAAAAGGAGGCCAGUAGUUGAACAAAUUUUGGGACGAGCAUCAGACGUAUUUACCUGUAAAUUGUCCUUGUAAGCUUAUUUUUAUGCCCCACCUACGAUAGUAGAGGGGCAUUAUGUUUUCUGGUCUGUGCGUCCGAUCGUCCGUCCGUGCGUCCGUCUGUUCGUCCGUUCGUUCGCCCGUCUGUCCCGCUUCAGGUUAAAGUUUUUGGUCAAGGUAGUUUUUGAUGAAGUUGAAGUCCAAUCAACUUGAAACCUAGUAUACAUGUGCCCUAUGAUAUGAUCUUUCUAAUUUAAAUGCCAAAUUAGAGUUUUGACCCCAAUUUUACAGUUCACUGAACAUAGAAAAUGAUAGUGCAAAUUUCAGGUUAAAGUUUUUGGUCAAGGUAGUUUUUGAUAAAGUAGAAGUCCAAUCAACUUGAAACUUAGUAUACAUGUUCCCUUUGAUAAGAUCAUUCUAAUUUUAAUGCCAAAUUAGAGAAUUUAUUCCAAUUUCACGGUCCACUAAACAUAGAAAAUGAUAGUGCGAGUGGGGCAUCCGUGUACUGUGGACACAUUCUUGUUUAGAAAUGUUAUUUAUUUAGAUAAAAUUUGACUAUAGCUUUAUUCAGUUAUUACAUUUAAGUGUAAGUUUUUCUUAAAAACUAUCAGUAAUAGGUAAGGUUACAAUAUUUCCAAACUUUAUUAACAAGAAACAGUAAGAUAGUGUACACGUGAUAUAUCAGUCUUGUUAGCUAGAUUGUGAUGUGUUAGAUUGGUGUAAAUACCAAUCACACGGCAAAGUAUAUUGUACACAAUGCACAUACAUACCCCCCUAAAUAUGCUAUCAUGAAUGUUGAAACACUGUCUGUUACAGAAUAUACAUAUUUUCUGGCGUGAUAGCUUUUCUCAUAUUUAGUUUGCAACCAAAACAUAUUCAGGAAAUGGCAGGAAGAUUCCUACGGAUUCUGCGAUUUUAAAUAUGUAAAAGUGAUAGUAAUUAUAGGUAAAUAGAAAACAGCGUUUUCAAAUCAUAUGUACAGGACUUAACAUAGACUAGAACUAAAGUUAUAUAAAGGGGAACAUAAAAGGGGAAGGACAUCCCCAUCGAUUUGUUUAAAUCGUCACCUCAAAGUUUUGUAUGCCUGUUACAAUUGAACCAAGAUGUUUUUUUCGUGUUUUACAGACGCCAUAAUGGUUUCGAUGACCGCAAUGGACUAUCUUUGUUAAAUAUUACCACUGAUAAAGGUCCCAUUUCAUUUGGCGUUUGCUGCAAUUUCUCUCUCUCUUUUUGCUCUUUAAAACAGAAUCUCACAAUGCGGUAAACAACAAAUGUUUACUUGAUAGAAUGAAAUUCAAAACAGUGUGGCUGUGGCCAUUGAUUGACACAUUAAAUUCAUCCAUUGACUGGGACAAUUUGGGUGAACGUUUGUAUGUAACGACCACUGCUCACUAUGUACUUUUUAAAGACACUUAAACUAUGGGGUCACCAAAGGUUCUCAACACCUUAAUAAAGUGAUUCGAAAAAUUAAUCCGAAAUAACACGAUGUUUUGAUUUAUAUCAAUUAUAUAAAUCAAAACUUAAAGGUUAUUCCUGAUUAAUUUUUCGAAUUAUUUUAUAAUUAAAGGCGUUAAGAAACCUUUGGUGACCCCACAGUUAAACUGUCUAUCGUAGGUACGUCGUGAACAGUGGUCGUUACAGACAAACGUUCACGUAAAUUGUCCCAGUCAAUUGAUGAAUUUAAUGUGUAAAUCAAUGGCCACAGCCACACUGUUUUGAAUUUCAUUCUAUAUGAAGGGUUUUAGAUUGUUGUUUGUCAUUACGUCGUCUCAUCUUUUAUUUUCCGGACGUGACGUAUUGCCGAUGGUGACUGUUUUGCUGAGUGUGAAUUCGCAUUGCAAUAAGACGUGUAACGAUAAUUUUCUAUCUCAAAUUCAUGUAUUUAGUUUUGAUGUUAUAUUGGUUAUUCUCAUAGGAUUCUGUCAAAUGUCAUAACGUCUUUUCUGUUAUAUUUGUGUAUUAUGGUAAAGAUAAUUAAUCACCCCCUUCAUUUAUGAGAUUUUUAGUUUGGUUCAACGAUUUUUUUACGAUAUAUUUGGUUUACAGUUUAAUUCAGAAGAAACACUGACAUACCUAGAUAAUACAAUUAAUCAUCUAGUUACUAUUAAUAAGUAUUUAUUUUUUAUUGGUAUUAAUAAAUGUAAUAUCAGUAUUACAAAUCUAAUCUUGAAUCAAUCCUAUUUCUAUCUUAUUUUUGGGAAAUAUUUUUAGAAAUUUAAAUGUGACGUCACUUUGUGUUUUUCUUUUUUUUUAAUUUCAAAUUCGACGUCACAUUGUGUGUUGAGGCUUUGGCUUACUCAGCUGUAUUUUUAUGUGCUGGAUUAGGUUGUUUAAUAACUUUUUUAUUCUGUAGUUAGUCACCACUUCGGUUUUAUCAUGUAUAUCUAUUAAAUACUCAUUUUAUAAAAUUUAUUGUUUGCAAAAGUAUAAAAUAUUAUAAAUAAUGAGGAUGUUCUUAUCCCAGGCAGAAAACCAUAGCAGUAUUUCGCACAACUUUUUUGGAAUGUUUGGUCCUCAGCGCUAUUCAACUUUGUACUUGUUUUGGCGUUGGAACUUUUUUCAUCUGAGCGUCACUGGUUGGUCUUGUGUGGACGAAACGCACGUCUGGCAUAUUAAAUUUAAAACCUGGUACCUUUUGUUAGCUAUUAUUCGUGUGUUUCUCUGUCCUAUAUGUUCUCCCAUUAUUUGUAUUGUAGUCCUGUCCUGUAAUGUUGUCAUUUUAAUUUUAUAUUUAACAUUGCCAUAAAAGCGGGAGGUUUUGCAUGCCACAACCCAGGUUCAACCCACCAUUUUUUCCUAAAAAUGUCCUGUACCAAGUCAUGAAAAUGGCCAUUGUUAUAUUAAAGUUAGUUUCUGUGUGUGUUACAUUUUAAUGUUGUAUUUCUGGUGUGUCGUUGUUCUCCUCUUAUAUUUGAUACCAGGGCCGUAACAAGGGUUCAAAUUCAGGUGAGGCAUGGGUUUUUUCUCGCAGUAAAAUGGCUAAAAAUGACCCGUUUUCCUUCGAUUUACUUACUUUAAGAAAUAUCAGUAUUGCUUGAACCUGGAAGCAAUUUUUAUGCAAAACAAACUGAGAUUGCUGUUUGGGGUGAGCCAAGGCUCCGUCUUGAAGGCCGUACUUUGACCUAUAGUUAUUAACAUUAAAUACAUUGUUACCGCGGAUUUUGUUCUCAAUAUGGCUAAAAAUCGCCCGUUUUCCUUCGAUUUCCUUACUUUAAGAAACAUCAGUAUUGCUGGAUCCUUGAAGCAAUUUUUAUACAAACAAUUAUUAUCUGUAUUUAAAGAUACUUUUGUUAGAAAUCAAACUGGUAAGUUAAAACAUAUAAAGCAAGAUCAUAGAAAACAAGAUAUUUUUUUUGUCGAGGACCUUGAAUUUCAAUAUUGUUGAAAGCUGAACAGACAUGUAUAUAACUACAACCAGGGACUUUCUAAACUAGUAUAUACUUAGUUUAGAGAAAGUCUCUGCUUCAACGACUAGGAGUGUUUAACUACUAAGGCAUUUACUAUAAUGUUCUCGUACGAUCGGCCGGGAGACGUUCAAAAAAAUAUCCAACAGCUGAUUCAGCCGGUAACGAAUUUCAGAUAACAAUAAAAGAUUCACAAUACAAAGGGAACAUCCUCUGCUUAAUGGAGCCCCUAAAUAAAUGUGAAAUGUAAAAUUGUCGAAAGCAAAGUUUCAUAUGUGUUCUCGUACAAAUACUGAAUAACAGACGGACGGCCACACGAAAAAAAAUAUACUGAAACUAUAUUCACUUUCGAUAAACAAAAAUCUGGAAAUGACAAAUAUAUGACGUAUCAUGAUAACACUGUUAAAACUGUAAACUUGUGUUGUUUAUAAUAUAAAUUCAAGUUUUUCGUGUACAAAUUGUCAAUAUUUCAUUUUAUUACUAAAAAUAAAAAAAAAAAUUGGUGUAGAAAAUUCAGGGGAUGCAGUUGCCUCCCCUGCUGCCUCAUAGGUAGUUACGGCCCUGGAUACGUUUCCUUCGGUUUAAGUUUGUUACCCUGAUUUGUUUUUUCUCAAUCGUUUCGAACAGCGGUAUACUACUGUUGCCUUUAUUUAUCGUUGUUGAACUCGUUUAAUUGCAAAAUGUAGAUAUAUGUGCACUUAAUUUAAAAAAAAAACCCAAACAAUUGCUUUGAUAUUUUCUUAUCUUAUUCUGUUAAUAUUUGAGUUCUUGUCUAUAUACUUGAAAUGUAUAUCCGGUUUUAUUUUUCUUACAUUAUUAUAAUAAAACAAUUCAAACAAACAUGGAGAGUCCUUUGUAUAACAUCUUGAACAUUUCAAAUCAAAGAAUUGUCGCAAGAAAAGAAUUAUAGAUAGCAAAAUAUAUUUAUAUUAUAGUUUUUUUUUCAAAUUUAAGAAUUGCAAGUGAUAUAUAUUUUAUCAAUCAUAUUUUACAGACCUGCUGUAGUGCUGAUAAUAGCUGUGGGAUACUACAUAAGGAAUGUAGAAAAUCAUUAUGAACACAAAUUUGCAGAGUUGAUGAAAUAUGAAAAUUAUUUGGAAAAAAUAAAGACACUAUCAGAAAAAGUCCCAUCUUUAGAUAAACGAUUGUCUAACCUCCAGGAACGAUUAACACCAACUGAUGAAAGUAUAAAAGAUAUGCAAAGGAAAAUAAAUACAGCAAACGAUAACUUAACAAACGUAGAAAUGAGAAUACGCUCAAUAUCGGGUACCAGUAGUAAACUUGAAGUCGCUUUACCAAUACAGCAGAAAAACUUUACCGACAUUACAGAAAACCUUAAAAAAACGGAUACUGACAUUUCCAACAUAUUAAAAGACAUUGACUCUAUCAACUAUGAAGCCAACGAUAUUAAAAGCAAACUAAAAAUUGCAUUUGAAAAUCAAACAAGUCUUACUGGUUUGCUGAACAAAACAACUGCUAAAGCUGAAUAUGUCAAUACAACUGUCUCUGUAGUCCAUACAGUAAUGACUGAAAUUAAUAAGCAUUUGCCCACUUUAGAAAACAUGAACAAAUCUGUUUCUUUGAUUAUGAGCAGUUAUCACCUUUUACCUCUAAUGCAAAGGGGCAUUGAGGAUAAUAAAGUUCAUGUUCAUGAAUUAGAAGUGGGAGUUAAUAAAACUGAAUCAAGAUUAAAUGAUGUGAAGGAAUCUUCAGAAAGUGUAAGUAAAGCAGUUUCUCUUGCUGGGGAAAAACAGACAAAUAUUGAAAAGGAAGUAAAGCUGUCCAAAGAAGAUCUAGAAAAGCUAAAACAAGACUUGUCAAACACAGGCAAAAACAUAAAGAAUAAUUUGACAAAAUUAGCAGAAGAUUUGAAAAUAUCAGAAGGUAACAUUUUAGAUAAGACAAGUCAAUUGAAUACUGCCAUUUCCACAACAGAAGUUCAAAUAGGAAGCAUGGUUGACCAAGUUACAAAAUACAAUGGGAAACUAGGAGAUUUUAAAAGUGAUGUGGAAUCCGUCAGAGGUGAUGUUAAUGAUAUGAAACCAACUGUCAAUUAUACAGGAACCAAGGUCCAAGAACUUGAUAUAAAAGUUAGAAAUCUGCAGUCACUAAAUACGGGUAUGUUUUUCUGUAAUUAAUUAUCAAAGGUACCAGGCUUUGAAUUUAACACGCCAGACGAGCGUUUCGUCUUCAUAAGACUCAUCACUGACGCUCAGAUCAAAAUUUGAGAAAGCCAAAACAAAAGAACAAAGUUGAAGAGCAUUGAGGACCAAUAUUCCCAAACAGUUGUGCCAAGUAGUACGGUUAAGUUAAGAAUGUAAACCUCUGUAAAGCCAAACAUUUAUAGAUCUGAACUUUUUUUCUUAACCUGAUUUUUAGGUUUAUGUGACUGUAAAUAAAUAAUGGGUGAAGAAAAAUCAUAGUGUGGUGCACUUUUUUUUGCUACAGGCCUUGUGAAUACCAACUUUGAAGAUUUUCCCAUUUUUCAUCAAUUUUACCCUAUUUGGAGCUAUUAUCGUGAAGAAAAAAAUCUCAUUUCUACUAUAAAACUUUUUUUCAAACUUUCCAUAAAGACGAAGUGGACCAAUUUGAAUAAAUUUCACUACAAAAACUAUAGAAAGGUGUUGAUAUAAGAAAGUUUUAUCAUAGUUUGAUGAUUUUUUGUGUCAACUGUUCCAUGCUGUCAAUUUUGUAAAUUUGUGAUUUUUCUUUUUUUUAAGAACAAAAUGCACAUUAUUUCAACUCUUUUGUUAUUAAUGAUUGACAUAAAUCUAUAUCUUAGUAGUUUAGAAAGAAAGAAAAAUGAUAUGGGAUGUAUGCUUCUUGUAAAAUCAUUUCGUGUAUGCCUCACCCAUUUUCUCAAAAAUUUUAAUAAAAAGAUUGACUUAAUUCAUUGGUAAAAAUUAUGAACAAUUUAUUACACAAAAACUGCUUAUUGCAAAUACACCAUUUUUUUUCACAGAGUUAAGUUUGAUUAUAACAUUUCUUAUAUUCAUUGGUAUUUUCCACUUGUAUCACACAUUUGGGGAAUUACUCCAGAACGAGAUUUCAACGAGACUGAAACGUCAGAAGAGUGCAUCCUUAAUCAAUGCCUUUGAUAAGAAUGUCCUUAGUAUUUCGAUACAAUUGAAGCUCACAAAACCUUUAAAUAGACUAAUAAAAGUCAUAUGAAACGAGUGAGUGGUGAAAAAUAAUGUUUAUCCAAUUCUUGAACCAAUGCAAGAAUAUAUCAUAAACUUAGUCUUCUGUACACGAUUUUCUCAUGUCCGUAGUAUUUCGAUACAAUUGUAUCAUUUCAUAGCGUUUUAAAUUUUCUAGUUAAAACAAUAUAUGUCUUUUAAAAUAAGGAAACAUAAAAGAGUAAUAUGAAGGUUGAAUGAAUAGUCACAGUACGAUUUUCAUCUUCAAAAUCUGAUAAUCUACAUAUAUGAUCAAUGAUAAGAUAACAGAGCCAUUUUCUGAAGAAAACAAUGACGGUCUAAAGACAUCAUUCAUUAAUAUAGCUAAACAUGCAGACUUCGUAUACGUUCAGGUAUUUAACAAUCAAUCUUUUAUGGUAAUAUUCUUUAUAAAGCACAAAAUUGUCAGUAUUCACCUCAGAAGCUCACAAAACCUUUAAAUAGACUAAUUAAAAUCAUAUGAAACGAGUGAGUGGUGAAAAAAUAAUGUUUAUCCAAUUCUUGAACCAAUGCAAGAAUAUAUCAUAAAGUUAGUCUUCUGUACACGAUCUUCUCAUUUUUUACGCAAAUAUAUCGUAUAAUCGUCAAUUGUUUUUCUCUCUUUCCGUUAUGAUUUAGCAAAUAUGGCUGCUCAUUAAAUACCGUGUUUUGAAGCCGAAGUUUACCGAUUGUAACCUUAUAGUAAACAAAUAACACUAAGCAUGGGAAUUGAGCACGUGUUUAACAUGUACAAUUAGAUAAUUGUUUAUUUUAAAGACAGAUCCAUGCGUAUUGUGAUCACCGGAUUUUUACGAGAAGGGUUACGCUCGGGUCACUAUGCAUACGGAAAAAUAUGUCGGUGAAUUGCUUCCUGGAAGUAAGCAAUUAAAAUUAAGUAAACUUUUUCGAAAUGUGGACAAAUUAAACAAUUUUCCUCAGAAAAAAGUAUAUGUACAUAAGUUGUAUAAUGAAAACUAUCCAUUUAGUUAUAAAAAACAUAUGCAUAUUUUUUUUUAAUUUGAGAUUUCUUAUGACAUUAAGAAGGGAUAUAGUUACGAUACUGUUGUCAGGUCAUAAAAGAUUGUAUAUUUUGGGUUUAAUAUAUUGAUUCACUUAUAGGGUCUUUGCAUCGGAACUAAACACAUUUAUUUAAAAACCAGUUGUUGGCAUGACACGGGUUAUGUUCUACUCUUAUAUGUUAUGAUGGUAUGAUACUAAACCCCUAACAGGAGGAAUUAUGCCUGAUAUUCAUAUGAUGAAGACAUAAUCUUUCAAUCAGUUUAAUUGAGGUCUGGAGCUGGCAUGUCAGUUGACUGCUAGUAGUCUGUUGUUAUUUAUGUAUUAUUGUCAUUUUGUUUAUUCCGAUGCAAAGACCGUAUUAGUGAAUCAGUAUUAAAGCCAAAAUAUGCAAUAUUUAAUAACCUAACAACAGUAUCGUAACUAUAUCCCUUCUUGAUAAGUCUGUUUAAAGGUUUUGUUAGCUUUUGAGGUGAAAAAUGACAUUUUCAUGCUUUGUUAAGAAUAUUACCAUAACAGAUUGGAUUUGAAAUAGCUAAUCGUAUAAGAUGUACUACUGCAGUCAUCAUAGAUUGAUAGCAAAUCCUUUCGUGCAAUCUUUUUAUUUUGUCUGUAUUAAUUUUGCUUCAGAAAUGCAAGGAUGUAUGAAACAGUUGAAUUUUGACAAAAAAAAGAUCUUUAAUCAUUAUUGUUCCUAGUCUUUAUUUUUAUAAUAAAAAUAUUUCUAUUUUUAUUGAGUUUCAUGAAUAAUCAUAAAAACAAUAUUGUCAGUAAGCACUAGCUAAUUUUACGUUGAAAUGUAACAAUAAUCAAAGAUUUUUUGUUACGUUGGACAUGCAAUGUUGGAAUGAUUUAUAUCAAGUUUAUCGGUUUAACUUAUACAUGCAUAUUUAUAUAUUUCAAAAGUGAGUUAGAAAACGUUCCCUCUCAUUGUAAAAACCAAUUGAAAUUAUUAAUGCAAUUAUUUUGCAAGUACAUGUACUCCUCAUUUGAUUUAUCAUUUUCAAGACAGAUAUAAGAAUAAAAAUAUUUAUUAAAUCCAAUUUAAAAAAAUGAUAUAUCAGAAAAACGUAGAAAAAUGUCAAAUACUUUUAAUUUAACAAACGUUUCUUUGUAGGACUGUUCCAACCCAUCAAUGUAUGUUUAGCUUUGGCAUUUAUAUUGAUUGCUGUGCUUUUUUAUAUGACAUAUUAUCGCUAUGAUAAUAAUGAAACGCAAUUAAGAGAGCAUCAGAGAACAGAAUCGCAUUCGACUCCACCCUUUAUGUCACAGGUAAUAGUGUUACAACAGUAAAACGCCAAAACAAAUAUAACGUUACAGUACCAAAUUGCACCGAGUACCCAAAUUGCACAUAAAAAACUAAAAGCUGAGACGUUCACAAGAAGUCAUCUUUAAAAAAUGAAGCAAUAAGAUAUUUUACAAGCAUCUAUUUCUAAAAAAUUGAAUAUUAAGCCUGUACAAAUUUUAAUAUGUUUUAAACAUUUGAAAAAAAUAAAACAGAACAUCCGUUGUCAGGAAAGGCCGCACGGUAUCCUAUAUCUAUUUAUUUAUGUGUCAUUUGGUCUCUUGUGGAUAGUUGUCUAAUUGACAAUUAUACCACAUCUUCUUUUUGAUAUUGUUGAACCUGAAAUUAAGCAAAGGAACAGAAAUUUCAUUUGAACGCUUUUUGUUUUAUUGAUUGAUAAAUAAAGCACAAUUUCCGAGACAAAAAUGCCUAUCUACACACCUCCAAUGGAUUUAGGGAAAGAAGAUUCCAGCACCUAUUAACACUCUAACCUUGGCGCAAUGUCAUAUUUUGAUAUCGACAAGAUAUAGCACUUAGUGUUACUACUAGGUAAAAUACUGGAUAGAUAUGUUUGAAACUACUAAUGCUUUGAAAAUUAAAUAAUGUAAGUACGAUUAAAGACAAGAUUUAUUGAUCCUACCAAAACGCUACAGAAGGAGAAACAAAAUGAAAAAUAAGAAAGCGUAAAACGGAAUUGUGUCUAAUCUGGCAUGUAUACCUACUUAACAGUUAUAAAAUGUUACCUGUUUGAAUGGAGUUUUCUCGUUACCUUUUCAGAGGGCUCCUAGUAUACUGGAUAGGAUUCAAAGAGUUCCGGUCUUUGAUAACAAAGUAUGUAUAUUAAGCUUUUACUCUGAAACUAUGAAUUUGCACAAACAAUUGGUAGAAUCGGCUCUAGCAUCAAGCAGAAGAGGAAAAAACAUAGAAGUUAUCCAGCAUCUGGUCAGAAGACAUGAAGAUAUCCUCAGUAUUCCACCUGCAAGAUAUAUUUUUGUAUUUGUCGACUUCAAUGAGCGCAAUGUGAUCUUAGAGAAUCCUGGACAGGACUUAGGCGAUAAGAAACUAGUGACUGUACAAGCUGCUCAGAAAAUUGGUGGUAAGUCCUUUACAUAAAACAAUUGUAAAUGAAGGCUAUAUUAGUUUAACGAUAGUUAUAAAUCAAUUCAACUGAAACGAAUGUGGGUAAAAAGCAAAACCGAGGGUACCAUAUAUGGUGAGAUGUAUAGAUAUAUAGAUCGAUAUUGAUUGCAGGUACAUGUACAUUUGUACAAGGAUAGAUAAUAUUUAUAAAGGUUGAUGUUAAUAAUUUAUAGUGGGAGUUUUUGCUUUUCCCCGACAAAUGAGACUGUAAAAAUUGGGGCCCCCUUAGUUGCUUCCCUGGGCAACUGAGGGUUGAUGUAAAAGGUGAUUGUUAAUAAAAUAUGUUUAAUAUUAAAAAAAAAAAAAAAAAAAAAAAAAAAAAAAAAAAACCGAGGGUACCACAUCAACUAUAAGAGGAAAGCAACGGAACAAAAGAAACACUGAACUGCUAGAAAUUCAAACGCCAAUAUAUAUUGCGUGACAGGAAUACAGUGCAAAUAAAUGCAUAAACACACCGGACAGAGAAAUGCACAAAUACACGACAUUAAGGAUGUUUGCUCCUCCAUUUUUUGAUUUUUUGCCAGAUUUUCGGAAUCCUUUGGUUUUAUCCAUGUAUGUCAUUAAAAAAAUUUGCUCACUAACCCCUUCUUUUCUUUUCAUAAUUUUAUUACAUAAAGUUUAAAAAGCCAUAUUUCAAAAUUUUAUAACAUUCUUGUUAUUUUUUCAUAGUUUUUGAAACGAAUAAGGUGCCAAUGUUAAAUAUAUGAAUAAUUUAGAGAGAAUUAUUUCCCGCCAAAUUUUCAAUGACUUAUAUGUCGGAAACGAAAACACAGACCCUUCUUUUUUUUAAAACUUUUUUAGUUACUUUGUUUAUAUACUAUCAAUUUAUUAUAGUCUUUUAAAAAGCUUGUUAUUUUUUAAUAGAGUAGCGAACAUCCUUAAGUACAUUUCAAAAUGCAAACCACAAAAUAUCUGCGAACACCUUAAAUAAAUUUAUGGCAGUUCACAUGUACAGCACAAUAGAAUUAUGAAUUGGGCAUCACACGAAUGUGUCAACGCCACAAAAAGAGACAGCACAUGUAACUUUUGAGAAAUUUAAUAUAAGAUUGGACUAAAGGAUGUAUUCUUCUGACGUUUCAGUCUCGUUGGAAUCUCGUUCUGGAAUCAUUUCCAAAAUAUGGGAUACAAGUGAAAAAUAUCAAUGAAUUUAAAAAAUGCUAUAAUCAAACUUAACUCUGUGAAAAGGUAUUUCCAAUGAGUAGUUUUUGAGUAAUCAAUUUUUCAAAUUUUAUUACCCAUCAAGUCAGUUUUUUUAGCCAAAAUUUUGAGAAAAUGGGCGAGGAUUACAAAAAAUGAUUUUAACAAAGACAUGCAUAUCCCACAUCCCUUUUUUUCUUUUCUUAGAUAUGUAUUUUUUUGAAUUAUUUAUAUGCAUUUUGUACUUAAAACAGAGAAUAAUCACAAAUUUACAAAAUUGACAACAUGGUAAAUUUGACACAAAAAAGCGUCAAAAUAUGAUAAAACGUUCUUAUAGUAACACCUACCUAUAGUUUUUGUCGAGCCUGCAACUUUUGUUGCAGAAAGAUCGACAUAGGAAUAGUGAUCCGGCGGCGGUGGCGUUAGCACCUUCUUAAAAGCUUUACAUUUAGAAGGUGGAAGACCUGGAUGCUUCAUACUUUGUAUAUAGACGCCUCAUGUAACGAACUUUCCGUCAGUCACAUAUCUAAUGUCUUUGACCUCAUUUUCAUGGUUCAGUGACUACUUGAAAAAAAAGUUCAAAUUUUUUGUAAUGUUAAAUUCUCUCUUAUCAUAAGUAAUAGCAUAACUAUAUUUGGUAUGUGCGUACCUUGCAAGGUCCUCAUGCCGUCAGACAGUUUUCACUUGACCUCGACCUCAUUUCAUGGAUCAGUGAACAAGGUUAAGUUUUGGUGGUCAAGUCAAUAUCUCAGAUACUAUAAGCAAUAGGUCUAGUACAUUUGGUGUAUAGUAGGACUUUAAGGUGUACAUGUCCAACUGACAGGUGUCAUCUGACCUUGACCUCAUUUUCAUGGUUCAGUGGUUAUAGUUAAGUUUUUGUGUUUUGGUCUGUUUUUCUAAUACCAUAUGCAAUAGGUCUACUAUAUUUGGUGUAUGGAAUGAUUGUAAGGUGUACAUGUCUAGCUGACAUGUGUCGUCUCACCUUGACCUCAUUUUCAUGAUUCAGUGGUUGAGAGUUUUAGUCUAUUUUUCUAUUAUAAUAUUUAUAUAAUAUUUUUAUUAUAAUACUAUAUGCAAUAGGUCAACUAUAUUUGGUGUAGGGAAAUAUUUUAUGACCUAUAUGUCAUUCGAUAGGUUUAACAACCUCUUUUUCAUGGUUUCAUUGCUAAGUGUUUGUGUUUUUGGUCUUUUUUCUUAAUUUAUAAGCAAUAGGUCAACUAUAUUUGUUGUAUUGAAGAAUUGUUAGCUGUACAUGUCUGCCUGGCAUGGUUCGUCUGACUGACUCAUUUUCAUGUUUGAUCAAUGUUAGUUUUCUUGUUAAUGUUGAGUUUAUGUGACAGUUGUAAUAGAGCUUUAUAUUUAGGACUAUCAACAUGAUAAUAUCAAUGAUUAGUAAAGAAGGCGAGACAUUUCAGCGUGUGCACUCUUGUUUUAAUUCAAAUUUAUUCAGACUUGUCCACUUCAUCUUAAUUGAAAGUAUGACAAAUAGUUAAAUUGUGGAACUGUGAUUUUUUUUCACGAUAAUAGCCGAAAAUAGGUAGUUAUUGGUGAAAUUAGGAAAAUCAUCAAAAUUUGAUAACUCAUUGAAAUAAAACUUUAAUACAUAAGGUUUUACAUACGCCUUUUUAUGCAAAUGUAUUCAAUUUGUUUGUAAGAAAAUGCAUGUACCAAGUCAGGAACACGACAGUUGUUAUCUAUUCGUUUGAUGUGUUUGAGCUUUUGAUUGUGCCAUUUGAUUAGAGACUUUUCGUUUUCAAUAUUCCUCGGAGUUCAGUAUUUUUUGUAAUUUUACUUUUUACAGUGCUUCAUUUUUUGCAUCUACUGAGAACAAUUUAGGUACUUAAUAAAAAUGAAUAAAAGAGCUGCUUUGAUGAACAAACACAAUACAAGUUUCAAAAUAAUCUCUCAGCUUUAUUAUAAAUUUGCCCUUUGCGUUAUAAUGACCGGAUCUAUUUUCGUUUGAACUUACCGUGUAUAUCGCAAAUAUUCAAAAUUGAUUUUGUUUUUGUACAUUUUAUUCCGAUUUUUAAUGCCAGAAUAAACAUACAUUUAGUAUACAAAACAUACAUUACAUGUAUCCUUCAGUUUGAUUGGCUGACCAUUUUAUUUCUAUAUAAAGUACAACAGCUGUGACUAAACGUGUUCUCCGGGAAAAUGUUAAAAUAUUUCUCUGAAAAACAAACGAAAAAACAAAAAAACAAAAAAAAAUUGGCAAAAUCAAAAGCUCGAAUGGAAUACAACUGCCAUAUUCUGACUUCAUUCAGGACUUUUCUUGCUGCACCUUUUAAUUUUAAUUUUAAUUUUAUGGUUAGAGCAAAGAAAUGUCAUUAAAAGAAUUAAAAUCUUCUUUUUAUGUUUUUUUGUAAGGUGGCGAUUUAGUGCAUAUGUUUUUUUUGUUUUUUUUUUUUAUAUGAAACGCUUCAGCCUUCAUACAAAAUGUGCUUUGUCAACACCUUUGCAUCCCAUUUAGGUUUAAUAGAAGAAGUAUCAAAUUCUUUAUUAAACUGACAAGUUUGGUAUUUUUAUUAUUUUACUUCUUCAUGAUGAUAUUACCAACUGUUUAAAACUAAUUUUGGAAAUGUUUCCUUUAAUGUGGUACAUAAGUUUGAUUUUCAAGUUUUUGAAAUGACGACAUAAUAGCUUAUUUAAUGCAGCAAUCUCAUUUCUUUCUGAAUUAGACUGUUGUGCUAUCAUUAUGAUCAAAUUUAAAAAGAAAAAUAGAAAAUACAAUACUAGACAUGAAAAUAGAAUUAUUUAUGAGCGAGACUAAUUAACCUUAGUUCUAAAUAUAUCACGCAUCCUCUGUGCAACACGAAAUUGAUGAUGUGAGGACAUUUUAAAAUUUUUUUUGUAUGUCUAAGACAUGCAUGUGUCCUGCAUGACACCUAGGUAUUUUGAUUAGAAAGAUUUUGUUAUUUCAUUUUUUUAACAGUAAGUGAUAACAGUAAGUGAUAUGCAACAAAACUUAUCUAAUAUCUAUAUUACAGCUGAUGUAUUUGUGACAUAUGUGAGAGACAGAGGAUCAAACCAAUUAGUUCCUGGUAACUUGUAUAACCAAGAAUUGUCAGCUUUCACAAGUCAUCAUGUCUUAAGGACAUUGGAAAACAACAAGAGAUGUUUCAGUGUAUAUGAAACAUUUAACAACACACAAAAAGACUCUAUUGUCCGUUCAAUUAAAUAAGACUAUUAACAUGUUUUAAAGAGAUUGUAAAACCAUCAGAGAUGUUUUAGUGUAUAUGAAACAUUUAACAACACACAAAAAGAAUCUAUUGUCCGGACAAUAUCAUGAGACUUUAUACUUUAUAAAAUUAUCAUUGACAUGUGUUGACACUUCAUUUUCUAAUCCUUAAUAUUUUAGGCACCUGGGUGUUUUUGUGUACUUUUAUUUAAUUUUUAACGGCGAGGGAUCAUCAGAUAACAAACUCUUAACAUGAAUUUUAGUUGUGUUUUUCUUACGUUAUGUUUUAUUUUGAUGUAGUGAGUUUUAAUUUCAGUUGUUGCGUGAAUACUAAUAAUGUACUAAUUUGCUUUGUUAAAAUGAUACUAUAAUAUAAAUGAUACCGAUGUCAGUUCAUAGGACAAUUGUUUCCUGAUAAACUUCCGUAAGAUUUGUGUGUGAAUCAAAGCUUGAACAAUGAAGUAACUUAAAAGUUUUUAAGCAUUAUCAAUUGAAAGAACACGAAAAGGAUCUUUACUUCAUAAUGUGACCAAAGCCCAGGCUUAGUGGAGAAGCGGUUGUAGUUGAGUAUUGAUUUUUAAAUGAAAACUAAUGAGUUCUUGUAUGUAUAUUACUAAAUGUAAUGCAGUUUCUACGUAUGCUUGCGUUCUGUGUUCAUUGAUUUUGACUUUCAUAUUGAAAGAUUCAAAUAUGUUUAUUUCAAAGUUUGAAAUCCAUGCAUCGAUAAGACUAUGAAAAUCAGCAUGGAUAUUCGUUAAAAUUGAGAAUUGAAAUAGGGAAUAUGUCAACUGGACAACAACCCAACCAAAGAGCAG